UACGUAGGGUGCAAGCGUUAAUCGGAAUUACUGGGCGUAAAGCGUGCGCAGGCGGUUUGUUAAGUCUGCUGUGAAAUCCCCGAGCUCAACUUGGGAAUUGCAGUGGAUACUGGCAGGCUGGAGUAUGGUAGAGGAAGGUGGAAUUCCCGGUGUAGCAGUGAAAUGCGUAGAGAUCGGGAGGAACACCAGUGGCGAAGGCGGCCCUCUGGACCAAUACUGACGCUCAUGCACGAAAGCGUGGGGAGCAAACAGG
rnacentral:rRNA from 1 species